rnacentral:tRNA from 1 species
UCUCUGGUGGGCCAGUGGCGAAGACGCUAUUCUCAAAUGUAGAGGUCCCAGGUUCGAUCCCUGGUCAGGGAA